AUGAACGCUGGCGGCGUGCUUAAUACAUGCAAGUCGAACGAAGACAGUAGCAAUAUUGUCUGAGUGGCGAACGGGUGAGUAACGCGUUGGUGACCUGCCCCGAAGAGAGGGAUAACAGUCCGAAAGGAUUGCUAAUACCCCAUGUGGUCAUUUGGAUUAGAUGCCUUAUGACUAAACGGAUUUAUUCGCUUCGGGAGGGGCCUGCGUCCCAUCAGCUAGUUGGUAAGGUAAUGGCUUACCAAGGCGAUGACGGGUAGGGGACCUGAGAGGGUGGCCCCCCACAAUGGAACUGAAACACGGUCCAUACACCUACGGGUGGCAGCAGUAGGGAAUAUUGGUUAAUCUGGGAAACCGGGAACCAGCAACGCCGCGUGCACGAUGAAGGCCUUCGGGUUGUAAAGUACUUUUAUGAGGGAAGAGCAAGGACUGUACCUCAUGAAUAAGGAUCGGCUAACUACGU
rnacentral:rRNA from 1 species